GGGAAUGCAAAAGGGCACUCCUCCAAUGGGAGCCGAGGAGCCCGCGGUAGAGAUGGAGCCCCGCUACCCUGCCAUCGCUCCGCCGAUCGUCGCGUGAAGCAUCCGUGUGUCUGCAAGAUUUUGCUGUGAGCCAGGUAUCCGUUCUCCUGCGGCAGCUGUAGAACCUACGGAGGCUAGAGGUCCGUGGGUGGUGGAGGAUCAUUUGCGUAGCGAAAAAAGGGAAGGCGAGUGCUCCUGCAGCCCUCCAGACGGCACCCAGUGCUUGUGGAGACCAGAAGACGGCAUCGGA